rnacentral:lncRNA from 10 species
GUCAGGGUAGAGCAGGUAAUCAAAAAAGGUUGCUUUACAAUAAAGUUAAGUUUAAAAAUCAAAGGCAAAGAAUUGAAUAUACUGACACUGAUUCUUUGAAAAGAAAUUUAGAACUGAUAUCUAACAUUGGCAAAACAUGAAAAGGAGAAACGGGGCGGGGGAAGAAGAAAAUGAGGAGAUUAUGAUAUUCCAGAAUUCCAAGCCAUGGAGUCAUUGAUGAGUAAGUAGUGUCAGUAGCGGCUACAUGGUUUCAAGAUUAACCUUUGGCUGAGCAAUGAGGAGUCAUUGCCAAUGUUGUCAAAGUGGUUGCAGAGAAAGAGUGGCCGGAAGACGAAGCAGAGCAGGUGUGCGAGAGAAUGGCAAAUGGUGUGAUGGAUUUCCUGGACACCCUGAUGUGAACUGAAACACCACAGACAAGACAGUUCAGACCUGCCGUGCAAGAAAGGUUAAAGUAAUUCUUCAGAGAAAAGGAAACUGAUACUGAUCAGAAACUCAGCCCUACAUGAAGAAAGAACUUUCAAGAAGGAAUAAAUGAAGGACUGAGAAAGUUCAGCAAAUCAGAC